GGGUCCGUAGCUCAGCUGGUUAGAGCACCUGCCUUUUAAGCAGGGUGUCGUGAGUUCAAGUCUCACCGGACUCACCA
rnacentral:tRNA from 1 species